rnacentral:misc_RNA from 1 species
GAUGAAGAACGUAGCGAAGUGCGAUAAGUAAUGUGAAUUGCAGAAUUCCGUGAAUCAUCGAAUCUUUGAACGCAAAUUGCACUUUCUGGCAUUCCGGAGAGUAUGCCUGUUUGAGUGUCAGUGUAAUAAAAAUAAAUCGUGGUUGUUACCACUUUUCGUGGUGACGCUUCGGAAUUGAGUCGUCUUACCUUCGGUUAAGUGACUUAAAAUUUUUUCAUACGAUUUCGAAACGUAUUUAAUGUAUUAUGUAUGUUCACGAAUAUCGAAUGUUUAUUAGGUGCGGUCAUUUUCAUGAAAUCGUGUCUAUAAUUUUUUUUUUUUUUGACCUCAAAUCAGGUAAGAAUACCCGCUGAACUUAAGCAUAUCAAUAAGCGGAGGA